rnacentral:rRNA from 1 species
UCGGGUGACAGGGAGACAGGUGGUGCAUGGUUGUCGUCAGCUCGUGUCGUGAGAUGUUGGGUUAAGUCCCGCAACGAGCGCAACCCUUGUCUUUAGUUACCAUCAUUCAGUUGGGGACUCUAGAGAGACUGCCGGUGAUAAACCGGAGGAAGUGGGGAUGACGUCAAAUCAUCAUGCCCCUUAUGGCCUGGGCUACAAACGUAGUACAAUGGCGUAUACAAAGGGAUGCGAAAGGGCGACCUGGAGCAAAACUCACAAAGUACGUCUCAGUUCAGAUUGGAGUCUGCAACUCGACUCCAUGAAGGCGGAAUCGCUAGUAAUCGCGGAUCAGCAUGCCGCGGUGAAUACGUUCUCGGGGUUU